rnacentral:tRNA from 1 species
GAGGGUAUAGCUUAGUGGUAAAGCAUGUACUGGCCUGCACAAGGUCCUGGGUUCAAGCCCCAGAGCCUCCA